rnacentral:rRNA from 1 species
CAGCCAAGUCGUGAGGCGGAGCUAAUCCCUUUAAAAGCCAUUCUCAGUUCGGAUUGUAGGCUGAAACUCGCCUACAUGAAGUUGGAGUUACUAGUAAUCGCAGAUCAGAAUGCUGCGGUGAAUGCGUUCCCAGGUCCUGUACACACCGCCCGUCACACCACGGAAGUUGGGGGCGCCCGAAGCCACUUAGCUAACCCUUUUGGGAAGCGAGUGUCGAAGGUGAAAUCAAUAACUGGGGUGAAGUCGUAACAAGGUACC